GAUGAACGCUGGCGGCGUGCUUAACACAUGCAAGUCGAACGGAAAGGCUCCUGCUUGCCGGGGUACUCGAGUGGCGAACGGGUGAGUAACACGUGGGUGAUCUGCCCUGCACUUCGGGAUAAGCCUGGGAAACUGGGUCUAAUACCGGAUAGGACCACAUUUUGGAUGGUGUGGUGGAAAGUUUUUCGGUGUGGGAUGAGCUCGCGGCCUAUCAGCUUGUUGGUGGGGUAAUGGCCUACCAAGGCGUCGACGGGUAGCCGGCCUGAGAGGGUGUACGGCCACAUUGGGCCUGAGCGACGGCCCAGACUCCUACGGGAUGCAGCAGGGGGGAAUAUUUCACAAUGGGCGCAAGCCUGAUGCAGCGACGCCGCGUGGGGGAUGACGGCCUUCGGGUUGUAAACUCCUCUCGCUAGGGACGAAGCGUUUUUGUGACGGUACCUGGAGAAGAAGCACCGGCUAACUACGUG
rnacentral:rRNA from 1 species